UGCAGUCGAGCGGACGGAUGGGAGCUUGCUCCCUGAAGUCAGCGGCGGACGGGUGAGUAACACGUGGGCAACCUGCCUGUAAGACUGGGAUAACUCCGGGAAACCGGGGCUAAUACCGGAUAACUCUUUUCCUCACAUGAGGAAAAGCUGAAAGAUGGUUUCGGCUAUCACUUACAGAUGGGCCCGCGGCGCAUUAGCUAGUUGGUGAGGUAACGGCUCACCAAGGCCACGAUGCGUAGCCGACCUGAGAGGGUGAUCGGCCACACUGGGACUGAGACACGGCCCAGACUCCUACGGGAGGCAGCAGUAGGGAAUCUUCCGCAAUGGACGAAAGUCUGACGGAGCAACGCCGCGUGAGUGAUGAAGGUUUUCGGAUCGUAAAACUCUGUUGUCAGGGAAGAACAAGUACCGGAGUAACUGCCGGUACCUUGACGGUACCUGACCAGAAAGCCACGGCUAACUACGUGCCAGCAGCCGCGGUAAUACGUANGUGGCAAGCGUUGUCCGGAAUUAUUGGGCGUAAAGCGCGCGCAGGCGGUUCCUUAAGUCUGAUGUGAAAGCCCCCGGCUCANCCGGGGAGGGUCAUUGGAAACUGGC
rnacentral:rRNA from 1 species